rnacentral:rRNA from 1 species
UACGUAGGUGGCAAGCGUUGUCCGGAUUUACUGGGCGUAAAGGGCGUGCAGGCGGUCUGUUAAGUGCAGGGUGAAAGCUCCCGGCUCAACUGGGAGAGGUCCUUGCAUACUGGCGGAGCUUGAGGGGGGUAGAGGAAAGUGGAAUUCCCGGUGUAGUGGUGAUAUGCGUAGAUAUCGGGAGGAACACCUGUGGCGAAGGCGGCUUUCUGGGCCCUACCUGACGCUGAGACGCGAAAGCGUGGGGAGCGAACAGG